rnacentral:lncRNA from 1 species
AUAUGGUAAUUAGACCUUGUCCGUGAUAACCAAGAAUUCCAGUCCCAGAAGUGUUCACUGACUCCUAAAUCACAGCGGAAUGGAAGCUGGCUGAGUGAACUGCAGAUGAGGAAGCCUAGGAAAGACACAGCCACCCAAUGGAGAAAUCUCAAGAAAAAGUUCAGCCCAAGAGGCAGAAUCCAGUAUCUAGAGGAUUCAAGGCAACAGAGAAAGGAAGUGGUCCAGACUCUAGGUUCUUCAGCUUGCAGACUCUGGGACUUGCACCAGCAGCCUCCCAGGGGGGCUCUUGGACCUGAGGCCUGCACUCUCAGCUUCCCUGGUUCUAAGGCUUUGGACAGAAACUGA